rnacentral:rRNA from 1 species
UGCCAGCAGCCGCGGUCAUACCGGCAGCACGAGUGAUGGCCGAUUUUAUUGGGCCUAAAGCGUCCGUAGCCGGCCAGACAAGUCCGUUGGGAAAUCCACGCGCUCAACGCGUGGGCGUCCAGCGGAAACUAUCUGGCUUGGGGCCGGAAGACUCGAGGGGUACGUCCGGGGUAGGAGUGAAAUCCCGUAAUCCUGGACGGACCACCGGUGGCGAAAGCGCCUCGAGAAGACGGACCCGACGGUGAGGGACGAAAGCCAGGGUCUCGAACCGGAUUAGAAACCCUAGUAGUCC